GUGUAAACAUCUCUAUGGGGUGAUGCAUGCAGAUAAAUGUUUAUGUGAACAUAUAAAGUCUGCAUGUGUGGGUGAACACUCCACAUCAGGUCAUUGUCCAUCAUUACAUAUCUAUGGUGUCUGGCUCAUUCGUCUCGUUUUCUGUCAUUUUACCUACUUUUACCUGAAGUACAAUGACUAUUUAAUAACUAUUAAAUGUUUCAUUUCAGCUACACCUCUAUGGUAUUUUUUCACCUCAUAUCUUACCUUCCUCCCUCACUGGACUUCAGUGUGGGACAUGCAGGUCUCAGGCCUUCUGGGAAGUCCCAGCUUUUCUUGAAUGUUUUCUCUCUCUGGCCAGCUCAGGCUGGAGCAGUGGGUGUUGGUGCCAUCCUGUGGCUAUAGGUGAUAAGCCGGCUGUUCUUCAUUGACCCGGUCUUACCUUGAACCCUGGAGUUCUCACAUGCAUGGAUUUAAAUGCUGUGUCUUUCUAAGGGCACAUUAUGGCCAUUUUCCUUAUCUCCCUCCCAAGGGGCUGUUUCCUGUGUUUAUUGACUCCCUGUUUAAAAAACAUAUAUAUAUAUAUAGAUGAAUUAGGUUGUACCCCAUAAAUUGCAUGUUUGAAAAAUAUUUCAAAGAAUAGUUUAUUUUUUUCUUGCUGAUUUUUAUGUAUCUUCUAAAUUGUAUAUAUUUAUGGGGUAUAAAAUGAUGUUGUGAUUUUUCAAUACAGUGUGGAAUGAGAAUCAAAUUAACCUAUCCGUUACCUCAAGUACUUGACUUUUUUUGUGAUGAGAAGGCUGUUUAUCACUUUCACUCACCAGCUCCUGCUGUCUUCCAUGCUGGGGACAGGAAAGGCUCCACGCUUGACUUUCCCUCCUGUUUUCUUAUCUGCUGUCAACCCCUGAAUGUACCCUCCAGGAUCGCCUUCUAUACCUUCUACAUCUAGCUCGAUCGUUGUGCACCCACCUUCCUCCCAGGGACUGUCCUUAGGGAGUGACUUUAUGCACAAACUUCACAUGCUCUUCCUGCCUCCUUCAUCCCCAGAAGCCCCCAUCUCAGCCCCAUCUGAUUAUUUCUUCCCUCUCUCAUUUCCUGUUAUUCUGUUGGUUUUCUAACCUGAAGGGUAACUUCUUACUCCUUAGUUUUUUGCCUUAAUUUCUAAGUCAUAGGCUACUUUCAAGCUAAAAGUUUUCCUCCAGCCAUGGUUUUAGUCUCAUUCUAUAAGUCUUGCUAGGUAGUUUAUUCAUUGGAAAUUUUUUGUUUUUGAGACAGAGUCUCGCUCUAUCACCCAGGCUGUAGUAUAGUGGUGCCAUCUCAGCUCACUGCAACCUCCGGUUCCCGGGCUCAAGCAGUUCUCUUUCCUCAGCCUCCUGAGUAGCUGGGAUUAUGGGUGCGUGCCACCACACCCAGCUAAUUUUUGUAUUUUUAGUAGAGACGGCAUUUCACCAUGUCAGCCAGGUUGGUCUCGAACUCGUGACCUCAAGUGAUCCGCCCGCCUUGGCCUCCCAAAAUACUGGGAUUACAGGGGUGAGUCACCGCACCCCACCCCUUGGCACUAUAUUUAAGUGAUGAUAUUUUUGGACACUGAGGUAGCCUCAUUCCACAGGUUUAGAUCUGAAGCAUUUUCACUAUUGCUUCUUUCCAUGUAUUUCCUGGUUUGCAGGUCAGUUUCUUCUUUUAAUUCGUCAUUGACACAGUGGUUUAUAUGGCUUUUAAUUUCAAAAGAUUUUUUAAAAUAUCUUUUUGCCGAUUUUUAUCUAUGUUAAUUUUAACUAGACAUGUUCCCUGGAAGGACAUCACUAGUUUUUUUUUUUUCACUCUGUUUAUAAUUUAGAUGGAUUUUCACAUCUCAAGCCAGCUGAGAGUAUGGGAAAUAGGACUCGUUAAAGCACAGAUAUCACACAAGUGAUUCAGAUUCACGAGGGUAACCCAGAUGAAGGUAUAUCGUUGUACCUGGCCCGCAUCACUUAGUAACUGUCACCUUUGAUUUAUUGAUUUACUUGAGAUGGAGUUUGGUUCUGUACCCGAGGCUGGAGUGCAAUGGCGUGAUCUCUGCUCACUACAACCUCUGCCUCCCAGGUUCAGAGUGAUUCUCCUGCCUCAGCCUCUUUAGCUGGGAUUACAGGCACCCACCAACAUGCCCAGCUAAUUUUUGUAUUUUUAGUAGAGAGGAGCUUUCACCAUAAUGGCCAGGCUGGUCUUGAACCUCAAAUGAUCUGCCCACCAUGGCCUCCCAAAGUGCUAGGAUUACAGGCUGGAGCUACAGAGCCCAGCCUGUCACCUUGAUUUAAAUGAAUGCAGCUUUCUUGGUGUCUUGAUGUUUGUGAGUUUCUGUGGAGUUUGAUACUGCUCCUUUUGCUGCUUGUUCUGUUUUUCCAGAGUCCCCUUAUCACUUGACGUGCUGUUAUAUUAUGUUUGAUUUAUUACAGAUACCCCAUCAGCCUGAGUCUCUUAAAGGCCUUUAUACACACAUGUCUACACAUAGGGAUUUGGAUUAUCUCGGGAUCCCACAUCCUCGCUGUCCCCUGUCCCCCCGCAACAUCCCCCACCAAUACCUUUCUGAAGUUUUCUAGUCCCUCCUUUUAGUUUGUGCUCCUUAAAGCCCAGCCCCAUGCCUGACUUUGGUUCCCAGUGAGCAUUGUACAUUUGUGGAUAUUAAAUCUUUGGCAAAGUCAUUUACCUGGG
rnacentral:lncRNA from 1 species